rnacentral:misc_RNA from 1 species
GAUGGAAGAACGCAGCGAAAUGCGAUACGUAAUGUGAAUUGCAGAAUUCAGUGAAUCAUCGAGUCUUUGAACGCACAUUGCGCCCCCUGGUAUUCCGGGGGGCAUGCCUGUCCGAGCGUCAUUGCUGCCCUCAAGCACGGCUUGUGUGUUGGGCCUCCGUCCUCCUCCCGGGGGACGGGCCCGAAAGGCAGCGGCGGCACCGCGUCCGGUCCUCGAGCGUAUGGGGCUUCGUCACCCGCUCUUGUAGGCCCGGCCGGCGCUUGCCGACACAUCAAUCUUUUUUCCAGGUUGACCUCGGAUCAGGUAGGGAUACCCGCUGAACUUAAGCAUAUCAAUAAGCGGAGGA